GUGCUAUUGCUAGAUAUCUAACUUAUAUAUAUAUAUACAUAUAAAUCUAACUAUUAAAUAUGUCCAUAUUACCAAUAUUUUAAAAGAGCUGCAAAAAGGUAAUGCACAUCUUAACUAAAAAAUGAAAAUUUAUGCAUGAACUAUAAAAGUUGUCCAUCCCUAUACUAAUUGAUUUUUAUGAUGAAUAUUAUGCAUGCAAAAAUUAUCUGGCAAAGAGUUUAUUGGCAAGAUUUCACACUGAAUAAUAAUUUUUUUUUUUUUCCAGUUUCAGUUGAAUUUUAUAAGCUAUUAGGGGUCAUUUGAUUGCUUUAGUAAUAUAUGGAAUUAUAAUUUGACAACUUUUCAGAUUUAAGAUGUUAUAUAUGAUACAAAAUUUAGGUAAGAUUCUAGAUGAAGUACAGAAUAUAUCUGAUUGGAUAGUGGAUCUGUGUCCUGAGGCCUUACUGUUGAAUUUUUUGAGUUGCCAAAUGAGACAUGUUGAGAGUAUCAUAUGGUACAAACAUAUUACACAAACAGAAAUCCAUACUCUUGACACUGAACACACACAACCCACAGGACCCAUUUUAGUCAUUUUUAUUCUUUUAAUAUUAAAAUUUUUUUAUGAGAACGAAAAUUUGCAAAUAAGUAAAACCAUAUCCACUUUGUAAAAAUUAAAAUUUUUCAUUCUCAUAGUUAUUAAAUUUGGUGUUAAGGUAAAAUAAUAAUAUACAUUUUAAUAUUGUUAUUAAAUUAUAAAAAGAUAUAAGGAGAUAAUCAAAAAUAAUUGAUACAUUCUAUUCUACUUUUUAUGUACUUGACUUUAAGUUCUGUAUUAAUUUAAAUACUGUACAGGAAUACCUCGCUUAGUGUGGCUUCACUCAGUGCUGACCCCGCUAUAGUAUGGUUAGUAAUUUGAG
rnacentral:lncRNA from 1 species